ensembl:lncRNA
CACGGGCAUGAUCCUGAAGAUGAGCAGGGCUCAAGAUUCAAAUAAUAGUCGCAAUGUGCACAUUCACCACCCAGGGUACAGAUGAGUAACGGUCUGUUUAACCGAGUCAUCCUUCAGUAAAUCUGUGUAAAUCCAAUAUUUAUUUGCUGUCACAGCUGUUGAAACAUCUGUUUGAGUGUUUGUUUUUGUUUCUUCUCUUUCUUCACUUUAUGUUCUACAGUUUCAUCUAGACCUACUCAUCAAUCAAUGCAGUAUAUGUCAGAGGUGUGACAUGCUGUAUUUCUUCCAGUUUAUUUUGGUGUCGUUUACUUGUUUGUUUUUUUUUUAAUUAUUAUUAGAAGUGCUAAUACUGAUGGGCCACACCCCCAGCUUACUGAAGGAAUUAUAGAGGUGCCAUGUUUCUAAAAAUGUGAGACUGUUUCCUUCUGUGCCACGCUCUGGCAUUUCUGGCACAGGGAUCAGAUGUUCCCUUUCAAUGUUUACAUGUUAAUUUGCACUUGUAACUUUGAAUCAGUAAAAAGUGCAGAUCAACGCGGGGUUAUGCACCUACGACGAGACUGUUUCUUGAUGUCGAUGUUCAUAAAUCGGCCUCCAGACUCUGAUUGGACUGUUACUGUAAGGCUUUCUCAGUGUGAAUAUAUUUCCUGUCUUGUGUCAGCCAACAUGGUUUCCCUCUGUGAUCGGUGUUCGCGUUUCACUUUAUUGAAUAUGGCAUAAGGUUUAGUUCUAGGUCUUGUCCGUCUGUCAUGAAGUAAUCACAUCCUGGGAUCCCUGGAGUUUCUUUUAAACCGGUGCACGUUGUGCAUAGUUUAGUCUUUUUUUGUGUGCGUCGAUUUUGGAAUACUUGAGUUUCUGAGAUGUUAUGUUAAAACUAGUCAGGUUCACUACAGGACUUUUAAAACUCUUCAGGCUACGUGAACCCGAUCAGGAUCUGCCUCUCCCUUUCAAAACCCCAUCGAAGUAUGUGUAUGUGUGGAAAGAACGAGGUGAUCAGCCUGAUGUUUAUUUAGUACAUGUGCACUCAGGCUAGCCCUUUUGAAACCCUUCCA